UAGAGUUUGAUUCCUGGCUCAGGAUGAACGCUGGCGGCGUGCCUAAUACAUGCAAGUCGAGCGAAUGACGAGGAGCUUGCUCCUCUGAUUUAGCGGCGGACGGGUGAGUAACACGUGGGUAAUCUGCCUGUAAGACGGGGAUAACUCCGGGAAACCGGGGCUAAUACCGGAUAAUAAGAGAAGAAGCAUUUCUUCUUUUUGAAAGUCGGUUUCGGCUGACACUUACAGAUGAGCCCGCGGCGCAUUAGCUAGUUGGUGAGGUAACGGCUCACCAAGGCGACGAUGCGUAGCCGACCUGAGAGGGUGAUCGGCCACACUGGGACUGAGACACGGCCCAGACUCCUACGGGAGGCAGCAGUAGGGAAUCUUCGGCAAUGGGCGAAAGCCUGACCGAGCAACGCCGCGUGAGCGAUGAAGGCCUUCGGGUCGUAAAGCUCUGUUGUUAGAGAAGAACAAGUACGAGAGUAACUGCUCGUACCUUGACGGUACCUAACCAGAAAGCCACGCAAC
rnacentral:rRNA from 1 species